CGAGACCACGAAGAGAGAGAGAGAGAGGAAGAAGAAAAAGAAGAAAACGAUUCACGCACAGACGACGAACAAGAAAAAGAUCGAAACAAACCCACACCAGAUCGACAAAAAACGAAGAAGAAGAAGACGAAGCAAAUCGAGUCAGAAGAAGAAGAACGAAGAUGAACAAGUUACACAUUCUUAAAGAGGAAAGGGUUCAAACUAGACCAAAGAAGAAAGGGAACAAAGAAGGAGAAAUGGAACAAGAACAUAUUUCCAGCGUCAAUCCAACCUCCUUGUUUCGACCAAAACUUAUGAACAUGUCUUCACAAGAUGUUAGGUUGGACAAUGACGAUGACGAAGAUUAUUAGGUCUUCACAAGCUUAUGAGGUCUUGCAAAGGAUGAAGCUGCUUUUGUUUUAUUUGAUUUUUUGUGGAACUAUGAUGUAAUAUUGUUGGACUUAGUAGUUGUAAUCUUGUUUAAGGGCUAGAAUUCUGGAUGGUUUUUAUUUUUAGUGGCUUGAUUGUGGGUGUUGCGAAACGGUUGGUUUUUUUUGUAGUCUGGGUAAGUUAGAUUGGUUGUUGCAACUCCAUUUUUUGGUAGAUUGGAUGAACUUUGAUUGCUUGAAUGGAAAAGAGAGUGGUGUUCUGGCCCAUUUUUA